rnacentral:rRNA from 1 species
AUUGAACGCUGGCGGCAUGCCUUACACAUGCAAGUCGAACGGUAACAGGUCUUCGGAUGCUGACGAGUGGCGAACGGGUGAGUAAUACAUCGGAACGUGCCCAGACGUGGGGGAUAACGAGGCGAAAGCUUUGCUAAUACCGCAUACGAUCUAAGAAUGAAAGCAGGGGACCGCAAGGCCUCGUGCGUUUGGAGCGGACGAUGGCAGAUUAGGUAGUUGGUGGGAUAAAAGCUUACCAAGCCGACGAUCUGUAGCUGGUCUGAGAGGACGACCAGCCACACUGGGACUGAGACACGGCCCAGACUCCUACGGGAGGCAGCAGUGGGGAAUUUUGGACAAUGGGCGAAAGCCUGAUCCAGCAAUGCCGCGUGCAGGAUGAAGGCCUUCGGGUUGUAAACUGCUUUUGUACGGAACGAAAAGGCUCUGGCUAAUACCUGGGGCACAUGACGGUACCGUAAGAAUAAGCACCGGCUAACUACGUG